rnacentral:rRNA from 1 species
CACGCUGUAAACGAUGUCUGCUAGCCGUUGGGAUCCUUGAGGUCUCGGUGGCGCAGCUAACGCGAUAAGCAGACCGCCUGGGGAGUACGGCCGCAAGGUUAAAACUCAAAUGAAUUGACGGGGGCCCGCACAAGCGGUGGAGCAUGUGGUUUAAUUCGAUGCAACGCGAAGAACCUUACCAGGUCUUGACAUCCAGAGAACUUUCCAGAGAUGGAUGGGUGCCUUCGGGAACUCUGAGACAGGUGC